CAGGGAGACAACAAAAUGUUUAAUAUUAUUUUGUCACCUUAGGUCGAUCGGUAUCUCAUAUUCUUAAUUUAUUAAGAAUUUCAUUUCCUAAGUUUUUCUAGGUCACACCCAUUAUUUUUCCUGGGCCAUUAGCUCAGGUGGUUAGAGCGCACCCCUGAUAAGGGUGAGGUCCCUGGUUCAAGUCCAGGAUGGCCCAUAUCUCUAUGUUGGGGGUAUAGCUCAGUUGGUAGAGCGCCUGCUUUGCAAGCAGGAUGUCAGCGGUUCGAGUCCGCUUACCUCCACUGAUUACCACCUCUUACAUAUCCGGUUGUAAAGGAAAUGUUUUGAGUUGUGAUCAAAUUCUGAAAGAAUCUAGCUUCCUAAUGAAAUCAUUAAGAUGCUGGACUCAUUGAAUUAACUUCAUUGUUUUCAGAGAACCUUGACAACUGCAUAGAUUAUUUUUUUUAAAGACAAUAAGCAUCUUUAAUGAUGCAGAUUUAUUAUUUGUGCGAAUGCAUUAAUAACAAUUCUAUUAAGCUGAUGCUUCAAUUUUGAAGUUAUU
rnacentral:tRNA from 1 species